AGAGUAUUUCUUUGAUGAAAAAUCUGGAAAAGUAUGCAGGCAUGUGGAGCAUUGGAACGUUCCCAAAAUGGCUCUUUUGAAGCAAAUUUUACGGCCUAGCAGAGGGCUAAGUGGCAAGAAAUCCAGUUCAGAGAAAUGAGAUGAAGGGUCUGACGUUAAGUAUGACAAUGGGACCUCUUCCCUUUGAGGGUAUGGUGCUCGUUUUCAGAUAAAAAAAUAAGGCGUUGAUGGUUGUGAUUUCUUACCUGUACUAAAGAGCAUCAUACAUAGGCGAGCGACUAAGAGUGGAGUGUGUUGAUUGCUAGUGUUUUACAUGUAUAUAUGUCUGUAUAUACACAGGACAUAUCGGCAAGAACACACAA